UACGUAGGGGGCAAGCGUUGUCCGGAUUCAUUGGGCGUAAAGAGCGUGUAGGCGGCCAGGUAGGUCUGGUGUGAAAACUCGAGGCUUAACCUCGAGAUGUCAUCGGAAACCAUCUGGCUAGAGUCCGGAAGAGGCGAGUGGAAUUCCCCGGUGUAGCGGUGAAAUGCGCAGAUAUCGGGAGGAACACCAAUGGCGAAGGCGGCAUCCUGGACCGGCAUUGACGCUGAGGCGCGAAAGCCAGGGGAGCAAAGCGGG
rnacentral:rRNA from 1 species